UCACCCCUCAAGCCCCGUGCUUGGUGUUGGACGGCCGGUCGAGUCUCUGCCUCGCACCCCUCCUCAAGACAAUGACGGCGGCCUGUGGUUCCCCCGGUACACUGAGCUUCUCACCGAGCACGUACCGGACAAGGGCGCCCAGGACCCGGUCUUCUCCUCCCCCGCGAGGAAAUAUUUUUACAA
rnacentral:misc_RNA from 1 species